UCCGUUCUGGGAGGCGUUGAAACGCGUGCUCGUGUUCCGGUCGCCUGAGCCGCGUUGAGCCACUGGCGAGCCCGACCCCGUUCGCA
rnacentral:ncRNA from 1 species